CCUACGGGUGGCAGCAGUGGGGAAUAUUGCACAAUGGGCGCGAGCCUGAACCAGCCACGUAGCGUGAAGGAAGACUGCCCUCCGAGUGUUAACCUUCUUUUAUAAAGAAGUAAGGUGAGACGGUUGUGCCUUUUUGAGUGUACUUUAUGUAUGAGCAACGGCUAACUCCGGGCCAGCAGCCGCGGUAAUACGUAGGAACCAAGCGUUAUCCGGAUUUAUUGGGUGUAAAGGGUGCGUAGGCGUGUUGAUAAGUUAGAGGUGAAAGGUCUGAGCUUAACUCGGGAACUGCCUAUAAUACUGUUGAUCUAGAGAGUAGAUGCGGUAGGCGGAAUGUAUGGUGUAGCGGUGAAAUGCGUAGAGAUCAUACAGAACACCGAUGGCGAAGGCAGCUUACCAAUCUAUAUCUGACGUUGAGGCACGAAAGCGUGGGGAGCGAACAGGAUUAGAUACCCUAGUAGUC
rnacentral:rRNA from 1 species